AUUGAACGCUGGCGGCAUGCUUUACACAUGCAAGUCGAACGGUAACAGGGUGCUUGCACCGCUGACGAGUGGCGAACGGGUGAGUAAUGCGUCGGAACGUGCCGAGUAGUGGGGGAUAACGCAUCGAAAGGUGUGCUAAUACCGCAUACGUACUGAGGUAGAAAGUGGGGGACCUUCGGGCCUCACGCUAUUCGAGCGGCCGACGUCUGAUUAGCUAGUUGGUGAGGUAAAGGCUCACCAAGGCGACGAUCAGUAGCGGGUCUGAGAGGAUGGGCCGCCACACUGGGACUGGGACACGGCCCAGACUCCUACGGGAGGCAGCAGUGGGGAAUUUUGGACAAUGGGCGCAAGCCUGAUCCAGCCAUGCCGCGUGUCUGAAGAAGGCCUUCGGGUUGUAAAGGACUUUUGUCCGGGAGCAAAUGCCUGGUGUUAAUAGCACUGGGAGCUGAGAGUACCGGAAGAAUAAGCACCGGCUAACUACGUGCCAGCCGCCGCCGUAACAC
rnacentral:rRNA from 1 species